rnacentral:sRNA from 1 species
GAGGAAGUUUUAUGGCUACUCUGCAUAC